rnacentral:rRNA from 1 species
AUGGAUUCCAUCUUAGCUAACGGUACCUGGGAGAUCAUUGACCGUCCUUAUGGGUGCAAACCUGUAGGAUGUAAGUGGGUGUUCAAGAAGAAGCUUAGACCUGAUGGUACGAUUGAAAAGUACAAGACACGGCUUGUGGCCAAGGGUUAUACCCAGAAAGAAGGUGAAGACUUCUUUGAUACUUACUCACCCGUGGCUAGACUGACCACAAUUCGGGUGCUACUAUCACUGGCUGCCUCACAUGGUCUUCUCGUUCAUCAAAUGGACGUUAAGACGGCCUUCCUCAAUGGAGAAAUGAAGGAGGAAAUUUACAUGGAUCAGCCAGAUGGUUUUGUAGUACCUGGUCAGGAAGGAAAGGUGUGCAAGUUAUUAAAGUCUUUAUAUGGCCUUAAACAAGCUCCUAAGGAGUGGCAUGAGAAGUUCGAAAGAACAUCAACUGCUGCCGGCUUUGUAGUAAACGAUGGUGACAAGUGUGUGUACUAUCGCUAUGGUGGGGGCGAAGGACUUAUUCUUUGUCUGUACGUCGACAACAUAUUGAUCUUUGGAACCAAACUUGAUUUAAUCAAGGAGGUUAAGGAUUUCUUUUCUCGCUGUUUUGAGAUGAAGGAUCUAGGAGUAGCUGAUGUUAUCUUAAACAUCAAGCUGUUGAGAGAUGAGAAUGGUGGGAUCACAUUGCAUCAGUCUCACUAUGUGGAAAAGGUCUUGAGUCGUUUUGGGUAA